AACUCGAUAGCUCAGUGGUAGAGCAUUGGACUGAAAAUCCUUGAGCGAUGGUUCGAUUCCAUCUCGAGGCA
rnacentral:tRNA from 1 species